UACAGAGGGUGCGAGCGUUGUUCGGAAUUAUUGGGCGUAAAGGGCGCGUAGGCGGUGCCACAAGUCACCUGUGAAAUCCCCGGGCUUAACUCGGGGCCUGCAGGCGAAACUGUGGUGCUGGAGUAUGGGAGAGGUGCGUGGAAUUCCCGGUGUAGCGGUGAAAUGCGUAGAUAUUCGGAGGAACACCAGUGGCGAAGGCGGCUCACUGGUCCGGUACUGACGCUGAGGUGCGAAAGCGUGGGGAGCAAACAGG
rnacentral:rRNA from 1 species